UUUGAUCUUCUAAUGGUUGUGCAGGUUUACUAUGGUGAGCUCAGAGGGGAAAGAAACCUCCCGUGGAGCAUAAGGGCAAAAGCUCGCUUGAUCUUAAUUUUCAGUAUGAGUUUGGACCAACAAAACGGGGUCUCACAAUUCUUCUGGCUUUUGAGGUUUUAAGCGGGAU
rnacentral:ncRNA from 1 species